GCUAAAAGCCCUCACACUUUGCAUGGCAUACUGUGUUCUGCUGCCAACUCAUCAGCUUUUCUAAGUGAAGUGGAGCUGCCUUCAAGCUGAAGAAGGGAACUAAAUUGGCUUGCAGAGGAAUCCAACAGCUGCCAACAGUAGCACAAGAUUCUUCAAACUAUAUACAAACUCACCUUAGAAGCCUGCAUUUUGGGAUUACCAGGUAAGUCCCCCUGACAUACCUAACUCUACCUUUUCUGUAGGCAGUCAGUAGCAAUACCAAGACACCCACCCAUCUGAAUUAGAUUCAGAUCAACACUUGUAUGCAAUUUUUUGUAAUCAGUCUUUUUUAAAAAGGGGAAAUCAUGAACCCCACAGAAGUAGAGUAUG